UAGGGCUGUCUCAUGCUAUAAUGCCUCAGAGUUAAUUAGAAAAUAAGGGCUUAUUUCCUCACACUGAAGAACUAUUCUUCUGAGGCACUGGAUUCUGGUAAUGGUGGAACUGCGUGUUGGGUCAUGAUGGAAGAAAGGACAUUAAGGAUCUAGGAGAACAAGACAAGGCAGAAGUAAAAUGGAUGAGCCAAACAGGUCGUCUCUAACAGCUUACAUGAACUUUUCUGUGUGAGAGUUCGAACAAGUGAAGAUAUUCCUGUGCAUUCUCAAGGAGAAGAUGGGCUGUCAGCUGGCAAAAAAAAAACGUGUGUGUGACUUUUGCAGAGAUGAUGUGCACUCCAAAGGGAAGGCUAAGAUACUGAAGAUGAAGAGCGAUGGAAAGCAGAGAUAAAGAAAACAGAGGUGGAAAUGAUUAGUGACCCCUACUAAGGAGAACGAUCUUCAAACUGGAAAAGAGAGAAAAUCUCAAGAGGAAAAUGAACUUAAGAUAGAAGACAAGAUAUUUGAGAAUAUCCAGGAAGGAGCCAAAGGAGACAGUUUGAAGACGCAAAGGAGAGCAGCGAAGUGAUAGAGCGAUUUUCCUGAGGGGGCAGAAGGCACUCAUCCAUUUGUUCAUUCCACAAAUAUUUACUGAGGGCUUCUAGGAAGCUGAGAAGAAGAGGUCCCUGCCCUCACGCGGAUUACAUUCUGGUGGUCACAAGAAAGCCAGCAAGAAGGAAGUAAAG
rnacentral:lncRNA from 1 species